ACUCUCCAGAUUCCUUACCCACUGGAUCUAAAUAAUAGUCUGAGUGGCUCAAAAAAGUAGGAGAGUACAACUGAAGUGGAUUGGAAGUCUUUAAUGACAUUCACGUUCAUUUAAACGUGU
rnacentral:snoRNA from 1 species